rnacentral:rRNA from 1 species
GAUGAACGCUGGCGGCGUGCUUAACACAUGCAAGUCGAACGAUGAACCGGGUGCUUGCACUCGGGGAUUAGUGGCGAACGGGUGAGUAACACGUGAGCAACCUGCCCCUGACUCUGGGAUAAGCGCUGGAAACGGCGUCUAAUACUGGAUAUGUCCCGUCAUCGCAUGGUGUGCGGGUGGAAAGAUUUUUCGGUUGGGGAUGGGCUCGCGGCCUAUCAGAUUGUUGGUGAGGUAAUGGCUCACCAAGGCGUCGACGGGUAGCCGGCCUGAGAGGGGAACCUGCCACACUGGGACUGAGACACGGCCCAGACUCCUACGGGAGGCAGCAGUGGGGAAUAUUGCACAAUGGGCGGAAGCCUGAUGCAGCAACGCCGCGUGAGGGAUGACGGCCUUCGGGUUGUAAACCUCUUUUAGCAGGGAAGAAGCGAGAGUGACGGUACCUGCAGAAAAAGCACCGGCUAACUACGUGCCAGCCGCCGCAGUAA